rnacentral:rRNA from 1 species
GACGAACCGUGCGAACGUUGUUCGGAAUCACUGGGCUUAAAGGGCGCGUAGGCGGGCUCACAAGUCAGGGGUGAAAUCCCACGGCUCAACCGUGGAAGUGCCUUUGAUACUGUGGGUCUGGAGGGAGGUAGGGGCGUGCGGAACUUCCGGUGGAGCGGUGAAAUGCGUAGAUAUCGGAAGGAACACCGGUGGCGAAAGCGGCGCGCUGGACCUCUACUGACGCUGAGGCGCGAAAGCCAGGGGAGCAAACGGG